rfam:Pichia pastoris GS115 chromosome 4, complete sequence
UUCCUCAUGGCCCAAUGGUCAAGGCGUCUGGCUACGAUUAGCCAACUCCGAGUAAACUCGGGGUAAUAGGAAACCAGAAGAUUCCAGGUUCGACUCCUGGUGGGGAAG